rnacentral:rRNA from 1 species
AUUGAACGCUGGCGGCAGGCCUAACACAUGCAAGUCGAACGAGUGGCGGACGGGUGAGUAAUGUCUGGGAAACUGCCUGAUGGCGGGGGAUAACUACUGGAAAAGGUAGAUAAUACCGCAUACCAUCGGAUGUGCCCCGAUGGGAGUAGCUAGUAGGGGGGGUAAAGGCUCACCUAGGCGACGAUCCCUAGCUGGUCUGAGAGGAGGACCAGCCACACUGGAACUGCAACACGGUCCAGACUCCUACGGGAGGCAGCAGUGGGGAAUAUUGCACAAUGGGCGCAAGCCUGAUGCAGCCAGGCCGCGUGUAUGAAGAAGGCCUUCGGGUUGUAAAGUACUUUCAGCGGGUAGGCGUUACCCGCAGAAGAAGCACCGGCUAACUCCGUGCCAGCAGCCGCGGUAAUUC